rnacentral:rRNA from 1 species
AUUGAACGCUGGCGGCAGGCUUAACACAUGCAAGUCGAGCGGGGUGAUGGUGCUUGCACUAUCACUUAGCGGCGGACGGGUGAGUAAUGCUUAGGAAUCUGCCUAUUAGUGGGGGACAACAUCUCGAAAGGGAUGCUAAUACCGCAUACGUCCUACGGGAGAAAGCAGGGGAUCACUUGUGACCUUGCGCUAAUAGAUGAGCCUACGUCGGAUUAGCUAGUUGGUGGGGUAAAGGCCUACCAAGGCGACGAUCUGUAGCGGGUCUGAGAGGAUGAUCCGCCACACUGGGACUGAGACACGGACCAGACUCCUACGGGAGGGAGCAGUGGGGAAUAUUGGACAAUGGGGGGAACCCUGAUCCAGCCAUGCCGCGUGUGUGAAGAAGGCCUUAUGGUUGUAAAGCACUUUAAGCGAGGAGGAGGCUCUUUUGGUUAAUACCCAAGAUGAGUGGACGUUACUCGCAGAACAAGCACCGGCUAACUCUGUGCCAGCCGCCGCCGUAA